GUCAUCAAGUGAUGAAAUAUGGAUAAAUCUUAGGACACCUUCCUACAUAGCUCAUUUGCUAUGGAUGAGAAUAACUUUUCCAUUCUGAUGAUGAU